GCUAGCCAGUGUGUUGACCGCAGCCAGCUGAUUCUAGCAGCUUCGUGGUUUGUUUUCGUAUUUUUCUCUCCUCAUGCGAGAACAAUGUAUAUUGUGGUUUGUAAGCGGAUAGCCAUUUGAAUUUGCCAUUACUGUACGUAUGGCAGUGUUAAUAGAAUGUCGCUGUUCGCCGUAUUUCGAAGCAAUUUUCCAAUGUAGCUGGUUAGCUAAAGUUGAUAGCACAGUGUAGCAUCAAGGCUAACUAGAAUUCCAACAAGCUGGCUCAUAAGCUCGCUGUUAACCAUGGGAAUACUUUUUACAAAGUUAUGGAGGCUUUUUAAUCACCAAGAGCACAAAGUUAUCAUUGUGGGCCUGGACAAUGCUGGGAAGACUACCAUUCUUUAUCAGUUUUCCAUGAAUGAGGUGGUGCACACGUCGCCUACUAUUGGAAGCAACGUGGAGGAGAUUGUGGUCAAAAACACUCAUUUCCUGAUGUGGGACAUCGGGGGUCAGGAGUCUCUGAGGUCAUCAUGGAAUACAUACUACACAAACACAGAGUUUGUAAUUGUGGUGGUGGACAGCACAGACAGGGAAAGAAUAUCAGUGACAAAAGAAGAACUGUACAAAAUGCUUGCACAUGAGGAUUUGAGAAAGGCAGGACUUCUGAUCUUUGCCAACAAACAAGAUGUGAAAGGUUGCAUGUCAGUGGCGGAGAUCUCACAGAGCCUCCAACUGACCUCUGUGAAAGACCAUCAGUGGCACAUUCAGGCCUGCUGCGCCCUCACUGGGGAAGGGUUGUGUCAAGGUCUGGAGUGGAUGAUGUCACGGCUUCGUGUCAGAUGAUGACUCCUAUUUCUGCCUUGGAGCCUGCUGUCUCUCUUUUUCCUCCACAAAUGAACUGAGCAAUAGGAUGAGCAUUUGAAGAGCAGAAACAUGAUUGAAGUGGGUAGAGCAGGAGAGGUAGAAGGAAACCACGUCAUACAUUGAGCAAAAGUUAGUGUAAUCUUUUGUUAAAAACAUGUCAUUCACAAUGAGCAAAGAUUAUUGUCAAUCAUUUAUUUAUUUUUAAGUAACUCAGAGAAUCAUGGAAAAAAAAUUACUUAAGUUGAGGAGCAACUACUGAGCUUUAGUUGUUGGUCUUUGUAUUUUCACCUUAGUGAUAGUUUAAUGUAUAUUAGACAAUAUUUAGCAUUUUUUUUCGUGCAGUGGGUGGUGGGACAGUCCUGCCCUGCCAUGUUCUGUAAAAUAAUGUGAAAAUUAGUGCACCCUUGCAGACAAAGCUUCCUAAAUCAACCCCAAAUUAGAAUUGUAAAAGCCAAGAAGAAUUGUGCCCCAUUGUACUCAAAAUCUGGCUUUCAGUCCUUUUUUCAUUAGUAUGCGUCAUGUUUCAUUUUAAGCAGUGUCGCAAGGGAUGAGGUAUGAAAAUGGCUGUCAGUGUCUGUCCUUUGAAAACAUUUAACUAACUCCUACUAACUCCUCAGUCACCACCUGUCAGUAUUGGGGUUGAUGAGAAAGUCUCCGGUAAAUCUGGUCUUUUCCAAGUUAAUCACACGGACAAUCAACCCAAUAAGUAGGGAUGGCCUCGACAUUGCCUUGAUGUAACGCAUCACAAGACUCAAGACCGGUUCAUUUCCAAGACCUUUAAACGUCACCAUCACAUUCUAUGAGUCAUUUUACACCCAGUAAGUGCUGACUUGUACUGUGAAACAGCUGUUUACAAGAUCUGCUUUCACACUGAAGGAACCUUCUCUUUGAUUAAAUGGUUUCAGAAUGCAUUCAGAAUGCUUAGGUUCUAGGCACCUUUUUAGCCUUGUACCUCUGCCAUGUGUGAAAGCUGACACCAACUCGGAGGUAACAGAGGAGUCUGGAGGACUGUCGGUAAAGAUAGUUGUUUUAAACCUACUUUUUCAUUUGUUGUAAAAAUCGUAUGUUGUAAGCCUUUAAUAAAGAGACAUUUAAUUAUGAAAACCUAUAAAACAAUGCUGAGAAUAAGUAAUGUAUUGCUUAGAAAAUGCAAGUAUGAAAAAAUAAUUGAAAUCAACUCAAGAAUGACGCAGGGAUGGCAGAGCUCCAAUAUAUACAAGCAGGACAGUACUGAUGAGCCUUACUAGCAAAAUACAAUGUUAUCCUUACUUGUUUACUCUCCCCAGACUACUGAACAAAGCAGCAUAUCAGUUAUUCAACCAUCCAAAUUUCUGUCUGCUUAGUGGUUUCAUAAUGAAAAUCAAUGAGUUGAUUUUGUUACAGAUAAGUAUUUCAGGGGUUGAAGAAACUGUGUUGAAAAGGGUUUGUUUGAUAAGUGUAAAAAAAAAAAAAAAAAAAAAAAAAGAAAAGUUGGGUUGACCAUUGAACUUGAAUCAUCAUCGGUAUAAUCACGUGUAUGAGAAAUGACAACGUGAUGUUGAUUGUUGAUUGAUUGUUGUCAUUUCCAUGAGUAAUCAGGAUGCACCUUCAGUCAUGUCUUUCAGACGUCAAUGCUUUGAUUUUAGCAUUGAUGUCAAGGAAACAAACACCAUCAAAACAACAAGUGCAUCAGCAUCAGUCUAACAAAUCUUUUAUUUAAGGCUCAUUACGUCAGUGUGGUGUCUUAUGGGACAGCUGCUUGUUUAUUGUGCUACAGCUGUCGCGUUUUCAGUCAUGUUUUCCUGUGACAGUGUCAUGUAGCUUCUUUCUGAACUCAAGAUUGGACAAAGGUAAGUCCGUCACUCUACUAUUGUUAAGUACAAAUGCAAAUACAAAUUUCAAAUAUAGUCGUCUCUCUUCAGCUACUCCUCAGUGCUGAUUUCCAAUAUGAAUUAUACUUUUUUUUUUUUUUUUAACUCACAACAACUUCACAAUAUUUUUGCGUUUAAUGAAAGGUAUGUGUAAUUAACAAAAAAGCUUGUGAGAAUGAUUUUAUUGAUGACCAGAAAUUGAAUAUAACAAAUGUAUUUUGUCUCACCAUUAAAAUUACAUUAUGCUCUUAUGUCAUUGUCAGUUGUUACCACUGAUUGCUAUGGACACAUCUUCUUGGAAUGUAAUAUUUUCCUUUUUGUACUUCAAGCUCAAAAGCUAAACUUUUGAAUUUCACAUUCGUCAUUUAUGUUUGGGUUUCAGUUGGGUGAUGACUGUUGUGAUUUUAAAAACAAGACAAAGCAAAGCUGAACGAAUAUUUAUAUCAGUCCCACAUCAAACAUGCGUACACCAACGAUCCGUCAUCUUAACCUCAUCUGGGGGAUCGAAAAGUCACAGAGAGAAGGACAUGUUUUUAUAAUUCCUUCCCCUUUUUUGUAUUUUGAUAUUUGGUUGUAUUUAGGGGUUUCUUAAUGAAAUUCACUUUGAUUUCCAGGGUUGUGUGAGAAAACUUAAGUGUAGAUAAUUUGACGCAGUAAGACUCUGUUAAAGAUCACUUUAACAGAGUCAUUAAUCUUUGUGAACGUGUUGUUACACUUCUUUGUCCAUUAUUUGAUGACUUUAAAAAGUUUCUGAGCGUGUAACUCUCAGUCAUUAUUCCUCAUUCCUUGCGUCCUUUGGUAAUGCGGCACUAGACAUGAUUAGCCACCUCUGGGUUUUGGUUUCCUUUGUACCAUCUUGGAACCGAACUUUCGACUUCAUAGAGAGCUAGAACAGCAUGUAUAAAUUAAUAAACACUCAAUUGAAUGUAAAUUAGGGAGGAUUUGAUGCUACUCUUUACUUGUGGCUAUGACAGUUACUUUCAGUGGCACAGCUGCAGGAGGAGGCAAAUAAAA